rnacentral:rRNA from 2 species
GAUGAACGCUGGCGGUGUGCCUAAUACAUGCAAGUCGUGCGGAAAGGCCCUUCGGGGUACUCGAGCGGCGGACGGCUGAGUAACGCGUGGGAACGUGCCCCAAAGUGAGGGAUAACGCACCGAAAGGUGUGCUAAUACCGCAUAUGGUCUUCGGAUUAAAGUAUUUAUACGCUUUGGGAGCGGCCUGCGUACGAUUAGAUAGUUGGUGAGGUAAAGGCUCACCAAGUCUACGAUCGUUAACUGGUCUGAGAGGAUGAUCAGUCAGACUGGAACUGAGACACGGUCCAGACUCCUACGGGAGGCAGCAGUAAGGAAUCUUCCACAAUGGGCGAAAGCCUGAUGGAGCAACACCGCGUGAAGGAUGAAGGCCCUCGGGUCGUAAACUUCUUUUAUGAGUGAAGAAUAUGACGGUAACUCAUGAAUAAGGGUCGGCUAACUACGUG